AGAGUUUGAUCAUGGCUCAGGACGAACGCUGGCGGCACGCCUAACACAUGCAAGUCGAACGGUGAAGAGAAGCUUGCUUCUCGGAUCAGUGGCGGACGGGUGAGUAACAUGUGAGGAACCUGCCUUUCAGAGGGGGAUAACGUUUGGAAACGAACGCUAAUACCGCAUAACAUAUUCGGACGGCAUCGUCUGAAUAUCAAAGGAGCAAUCCGCUGGAAGAUGGCCUCGCACCUGAUUAGAUAGUUGGUGAGGUAACGGCUCACCAAGUCGACGAUCAGUAGCCGGACUGAGAGGUUGAACGGCCACAUUGGGACUGAGACACGGCCCAGACUCCUACGGGAGGCAGCAGUGGGGGAUAUUGCGCAAUGGGGGAAACCCUGACGCAGCGAUGCCGCGUGGAGGAAGAAGGUUUUCGGAUUGUAAACUCCUGUCUUCAGGGACGAUAAUGACGGUACCUGAGGAGGAAGCUCCGGCUAACUGCGUGCCAGCAGCCGCGGUAAUACGUAGGGAGCAAGCGUUGUCCGGAAUUACUGGGUGUAAAGGGAGCGCAGGCGGGCGAGCAAGUUGGAAGUGAAAAUCAUGGGCUUAACCCAUGACCUGCUUUCAAAACUGCUUGUCUUGAGUGGUGUAGAGGUAGGCGGAAUUCCCGGUGUAGCGGUGGAAUGCGUAGAUAUCGGGAGGAACACCAGUGGCGAAGGCGGCCUACUGGGCACUAACUGACGCUGAGGCUCGAAAGCAUGGGUAGCAAACAGGAUUAGAUACCCUGGUAGUCCAUGCCGUAAACGAUGAUUACUAGGUGUAGGGUGUUACACGCAUUCUGUGCCGCAGUUAACACAAUAAGUAAUCCACCUGGGGAGUACGACCGCAAGGUUGAAACUCAAAGGAAUUGACGGGGCCCCGCACAAGCGGUGGAGCAUGUGGUUUAAUUCGAAGCAACGCGAAGAACCUUACCAGGUCUUGACAUCCCGCUGACCGGCCUAGAGAUAGGCUUUUCCCUUCGGGGACAGCGGUGACAGGUGGUGCAUGGUUGUCGUCAGCUCGUGUCGUGAGAUGUUGGGUUAAGUCCCGCAACGAGCGCAACCCUUGAUCUUAGUUGCCAGCAUUUAGUUGGGCACUCUAAGGUGACUGCCGGUGAUAAACCGGAGGAAGGUGGGGAUGACGUCAAAUCAUCAUGCCCCUUAUGACCUGGGCUACACACGUGCUACAAUGGACGGUACAGAGGGUCGCAACCCCGCGAGGGUGAGCAAAUCCCAUAAAACCGUUCUCAGUUCGGAUUGUAGGCUGCAACUCGCCUACAUGAAGCCGGAAUCGCUAGUAAUCGUGGAUCAGCAUGCCACGGUGAACACGUUCCCGGGCCUUGCACUCACCGCCCGU
rnacentral:rRNA from 1 species